rnacentral:tRNA from 1 species
GCCUGGGUGGCUCAGUCGGUUGAGCAUCUGACUUUGGCUCAGGUCAUGAUCUCACAGUUCGUGGGUUUGAGCCCCGCAUUGGGCU